rnacentral:rRNA from 1 species
GUGCUAAUCCCGUAUAACAAUCAAAACCGCAUGGUUUUGAUUUGAAAGGCGCUUUCGGGUGUCGCUGAUGGAUGGACCCGCGGUGCAUUAGCUAGUUGGUGAGGUAACGGCUCACCAAGGCCACGAUGCAUAGCCGACCUGAGAGGGUGAUCGGCCACAUUGGGACUGAGACACGGCCCAAACUCCUACGGGAGGCAGCAGUAGGGAAUCUUCGGCAAUGGACGAAAGUCUGACCGAGCAACGCCGCGUGAGUGAAGAAGGUUUUCGGAUCGUAAAACUCUGUUGUUAGAGAAGAACAAGGAUGAGAGUAACUGUUCAUCCCUUGACGGUAUCUAACCAGAAAGCCACGGCUAACUACGUGCCAGCAGCCGCGGUAAUACGUAGGUGGCAAGCGUUGUCCGGAUUUAUUGGGCGUAAAGCGAGCGCAGGCGGUUUCUUAAGUCUGAUGUGAAAGCCCCCGGCUCAACCGGGGAGGGUCAUUGGAAACUGG